rnacentral:lncRNA from 1 species
AAAAUUCAUCGAGCAACAACAAAACCCGACCCUAUUCGAUAAUCGCGAACAACGACAACUCCGAACAACAUCGAAAAUCAACCAACCAAGCCAUCAACAGCUUUGCCAAAACCCAAGACUCUGACCCAACUCUUCUCACACGCAUCUUACACGAUGGCAUGAUGAGGAGGGUUUGAAACUCUUAUAGAAUACGCCUAGAUGUCCUUCCAAAGGUUUGAUUAUGUGAAUUUUGGAUGAAGUAGUAUGAAUUCGUAAACAUUUGGGAAAAUACUAUUGGUUUUCGGAGAUUAUUCCUUUUCCCCAAUCUCCAUUGUCCAACACAUUUGGAAUUUUCUCAACAACAAUCCAAAUUUGUACAAGUUGUUGUUUGAAAACCCUAUCCUAAGCUUGAAUUCAAAUUUUUUCCCUACUGAAAAUCCCAAAAAUACCCCCAAUUUCUCCUAAUCCCACAUCAGUGGAGCUUAAGAGGGGACCCUAAUUUUGUUUCUAUAAAAAGAGCUCACUAUUGAGCCAAGAGAGAGUCGGGAAAAAUUUUGGGAAAGCUGGAAGAGAUAAAGAAUUUGACUCAGAGGACAAGAAAUUUCUUUAGCAGAGCUAUUAGAAAAAGAGAAAGAAAAAUAGUUUUCGAGAGGAAAAGUGAAUUUUUCUUUAGUAAAAUUUUUUUGAGAAAAGGAGUCGACGAGUCAAAUUCUUGCGGUGACUACGAUAAUUUUUGGUGGUGGUCAAGAUCCCGGCAUCAGUUUGUAAUCCCGUUUUGCUGCUCUGAAAGAGGUAAACAUGUUUUUCCAUUUUUUUCCUAUUAUCAUUUUCUUUUCUCUCUUCUUCAUCUCCUUCUGGUAUAGUUAUAAUGUUGCUUGUCUGCUGGGAGUAGCUGUAGAGGCCUCGUCGGCUGUAGGAUUUGCUUGAGCAUGUUGUUGUAGGAUCGCUUUGUAUGAGUUCACUACUCUGUGUUACUGAUGUUACUUAUCUGUGUAUGCUUAAUAACGGAUGGGUUUAUAAUUCAUUAAAUAUUAAUGUCGAUUAGUCGUAAUGUUACAAUAUGAAUUAGCAUAUAUAAAGGUUGUCGAGAUUCUGCCCCUUCUUGUUUAGUUCAUUGUUGAGAUUCGAUGAUUUCUACGGUGAAAAUUUAACUUCCAGUUUGUUUGAUGAGCAUUAAAGAAGAGUUUCUUGAAUUAUUGUUCAUCAUUUAGACCUCGAGUUCGUCUAAAUCUCAUAAUCUAGGGGCAAAUCGGCUUGUAAAACCACUGUAGUGUUGAAAUUUUAUUAAUUCUUAUGCCAGGUUUACACUUGGAUAUUGUAGUCUGACUUGCCAUACCUUCAGCUGAUUGUCUCGUUUAAGUCCUUAAACAUCAAUUUAGUAUGGUGUUUCCUUGGUUGUGAAUGGUUUUCUACCUUUUAAUAUUGUUUUUUAGUCACUAGUAGAACUUUAAUCGAUUGUAUUCACCCGUUGCAAGUUGCCGUCUGAUUCUCUGGACCUUUAAAGUCACUAAAAAUAAUACUUGUGGGUUUACAGUACGGUUGACAAUCUUAUGAAACCUCAACGAUCUUUCCUUUGACCUUUGAAAGUUCAUUUCAAGUUGGUCAAAGAGAAGGUGAGGAGGAGCUUAUAGUAUAUUCCAUCUUGGGGUGGUGAAGCCUAAAUAUCAUUUCUUGUGAAUCCGUGUGCAUACUUACAACUUUUUUGUGCUCAUGUUAGUCUUGGAAACUUGCGUCAUUUGAUAAUUAGUUAUAAGCCGAUUCUGGUCAUCGAACAUGGACAAACUUAUGGUCUUUGAACAUGUGGUUUACCAAAGGGCUAUCUAUGUCAUAUUUUCUCUCUCGUAGAAAUCAAGACUAGGAACGAGACUCGCCCUUAGCAUGGCCUGUUCUCGUUUCCUGAAGGUCUUCUCGCCUAUAACUUUAUUGGACUAUCAAUAAAGAUAAGGCCUUUACUAUUUAAAAACACUUUUAUUAUAUUUCGUGUUGUGGAUAAAUAAGGGGUCCAUUUGGAAGGUUAAUUUUCUGUUUAGAUAAAAUGUGAGGUUAUUGAAGUGUUGGAUAUUUACCCUCCUUUGUUUGAGCCUUGUUCUACGAACUUCUUUUCAUUGGCUAGUCGAUUAUAUUCAGAAAUUGUAUUUAUUCCUUUUUGUUCUAUGUGACAUCAAGCCUAAUUCACUGUUGUAUUCAUAUACUGGAAGUUUAUAUAUUUACACCUGUGGUUUCCAUGUAUGUUACAUAAUGUGAAGUUACCUUUGUUAAACUAACUUUUCAUGCUUUAUAUACAUGAUAAUAUAGUAUUCGUUUAAAUAUUAACUUUAGGACAUAUUAAUUGCUUUAUUCCUUUUCUUUCGCAUGUGGAUACUCUCGAGUCUUACAUGGACUCUUUUCCUUUCGCAUAUCUAUCAUGGGCCAAUGAGGCAUAUCCUUCGAUUCAGGACCCGGAAGAAAGUCUAAAAUGAGUUCCAAGGCAUAAGGAGACAAGGGGUCGAAAGGAGAAGAAUGGGUUAAAAUCCCAUCUUUGAAGCUGCUAAGGGACUUGAAAGUCUCAUUUGUUAUUUUAUUUAUUCUUGUCUUUAUUUAUUUUAUUUAUUUAUUCAUUCAUUUGGUCCUCGAAGCCAAAGUUGUAUUUAAUACAGAUAAAGCAAAACUCGGGCCAAAGGUUCGAAGAAUAGUUUAGGACAUGUUAUAGGUCAAAACCUAAUAUCUAGAUUAGGACAGGUAAAAUUGGGCCGGAAGCCCAAUUAGACUAGGACAGGGUGAUGGAUUUGGUUUAAGAGCCCAAAUUAUUUAUUUCUUCCCCUCUUUACCUUUUUCUACGUUGUUUGCUUGCGAACCUAGUUAAACCUCUAACUAAGUCGCUAAAAAAUUGAUUUUGCAAAAAUUUUCAAAAUACUCCUUAAUCAACUUCUUUUCAACACCAGACUUUUUCUUUUAGAAGUUAGUCAAAAGGAAAUUAUUUUUCAAAAAAUCUGGAUAACUGCAAGUUAGCAGAAAUUUUAGGUGUCUUAAAAACCUUUCUAAAAUGUUGGAAUCGCAUACAUAGAAUUUCAAAACUUAAAUGAUUUUCCUAUUUUGAAUUUUCUAAGUACUUUAUAAAGGUUUUCUUAAUUCUUUUUCAAAUAAAUUAAGUGGCGACUCUGAAAGUCAUAUUUUCGCAAAACAGAAAUGGUCACUCUGCUGGGGAACUUUUAACUAGGUUCUAACCAAAUGUUUGAAUUUAUAUUUUGACUAACUGUUUAAACUAUUUACGUGCUUAAAUGUUUCAAUUCUGUGAAAUUUAACUGUUGCAUUUCAUGGCAUUAUCCUACAUGAUGAUUAUUAAACUGUUUUGGGGUUUCAUGGAUGUCCCAGCUACUGUUGUUCAACUCCAAUUGCAGUGUUGGAAAUAUGAUAUUUUAUUAGCACGUGAGGCGUCUAAUGGUUUUUUCGUAUUUCCAAACCCAAGUCAUCUACUUGGGAACCUGUGUUCAAACCCACUCUAGAAACCCAGGAUAGAGCUAAACCAAAAUCCUUUUAGGCAUAAGCCUAGGAUGACCCAAUACUCGAAGGAGGUAUUGGGCCCAUUAGAAAAUUUGACCUAUGUAUAUUGACCCCGAGUCAAUUGUAGAACUGACGAAAUAUAUAUUUGUUUAAUCCAAUCCAUUAUCCUUUAGGGGUCAGGAGAAGGCUUGCUUUGUUUACUUUCGUGUAAGGAUGCCUCAAUAAUACACCAAUUGAGGGAGGAACUGAAGCAAGUCGAGCAAGAAAUUGAUAGAUUUAGACGGUUGCAUCUAGAGCACAGUUAUACGAAAAUUGCUUGAUCAUCAACAUAUGUCUCCAAUUACAAAAAGAGGACAAAUCUAAGAGGUCGAAGGUCGAUAUAAGAGCAUUCAGGAACUAGUAUUUCCUAUCCCCUGCGUGGGACAUUAUUUUUUUUCUCAUGUUAUUUUUCCUUUCCCUAAAGAUUGUAUCCCUUUUGUGUAACUUUUGUAGGAAUUUAUGCCAUUUAUGUACACCUAUGAAGGUUUUAGGGGGGAUAAUGGAUUGGUUUCAAAUAAUGAUAUACUUUCUUCAAAUACGUUAGGCCAACCCUUGGCUCAAAAGGGUCACCCAACUAGGAUAUGCAUUUUUAUGUGAUAUAACUGUCUUAUGUGUUUAUGUAUGUUUGUUUGAAUCAAAGACAAAUUUAUCCACUAUGCUCUCGUGGAUCAGUUUGGCUAUGACGCAAAUAACACUAUGUGAUUACUUUUUGUCAAAUAUCUUGCAUUACUUAUCACAUAUGGGAACUAACACAUAUGUCUUUGACUUAUUUUACUUUGCAGAUAACAGAAAACUACUCCAUGUUGAAAAAAGCUGGAAGAACAUCCUUACUUCACCUGGUCAAAAGCGUAUAAGAUCUCAUCGCCUAACCAUCAUUCAAAUAUGACUGGAAGUGAUAAAGAAAAUGCAUUGACCAUCAGGGAUAAUGUAAUAGCGGAAUAAAAUGAGAUGAUUGUUGAACUUGAAAGAAAGUUGGAAAUACUUCAGGAGGAGAUGAACCGUACUCAAGAUUUGGCUAAUCUGGCCAUCAAUAUUAAGGCUCCCGCUCCAAGAGGACACGGGACUUCACUCCAGAACUCUCCCCUCAGUACGCCUAUUCUUAGGGACCAUUCAAAUAACACAACAUCCAUUUUCGCUCCUCAACUUGUCCAAAACACCAAUCGAUAAAAUAACCCAGAUGCUUACCAUCCACAAAUCCAUCCCUAACCCCACAAAAUCCAUCUCUAAAUCAACAAAAUUCAUUCCUAAAUCCCAAAACCCAUUUUCAAAUCCACAAAAUCCGCUCCUAAAUCCACAAAAUUCAUCUCCAAAUCCACAAAGUACAUUUCCAAAUCCAUAAAAUACAUUUCCAAAUCCAUAAAAUCAAUCUCCGAAUCCACAAGAUUUAUUUUUGAAUUCGCAAAAUCCCUCUCAAAAUCCACCAAACUAUUCUUAAAUUCCAUAAAAUGUUCUUAAUUUCCAAAACGUCCUCUCCACCUACCACCCAACCUCUUCUCAUCCUCAAAAUCAAGCAACCCUUCCAAAUCCUUCUCAUGUCAUCAUAUCCCCCGACAUCUACAAUUUCUUUCCCAAUCCUGAGAUAGACCAUUAUGAGGAGAAGGGAAAAAAGUGGAGGAAUGAGCAUGAAAAGAAGUUGUUGGCCAUCAAUGAAGAGAUUAUGAGGAUCAAGGAAUCUCAUGUCCAUCAAUUAUUUUUUCACCUAGUUUGACUAUUCUUAAAAUCUUUGCAUGGCAUAACAUGGUAAUGAAAUAUAAAUUGGUUUUGUUGGUUUUAAAUGGUUUGGAAAGGCCUUGAUGACCAUGGUUUUGGUUUAAUUGGAAACCUGGGAGUCAUCUUGGUUUAAUGUCUUUGGUAUGGCAUAAAAAGAUAUACUUGCCAGCUCUAUUUUUUGUAUGAUGAUACCAAAGGUUAAUGCCUAAUGAAAAGACUCCUUGGUUAAUAGUUUGGUUAUGUGAAAAAUGUUUAAUUGCGGUUAAAAGGGGUUUAGUAGCAAAUUUUUUUAAGGUAGGGUCCCAGGGGGAUCGCCAUUGGAAACUCAUGAUUGCCAAUAUGAAAGUGGACUUGGUGACCGAGUGAAUUAUGUCACACUUUAUAUUCUGGGAGAUGUACUAGUCAUUCCAGGUUUCUAUUCUCCAGUCAUGUGGCUAACAUAUACAGGGGCCCUUUCAUCUGGGGGAGCUGAACCCAUAUAGCUUGUGGGUGGAAUUAGAGAGGACAAGAUACACAACCUAGGUUAAGUUUUAAAUAUAUGCUAAACCUGGUUCCCUUUUACAACAUGAUAUAUAUGUAUCCAUGUGAUUGCAUAUGGUUAUUUACUUUGGUUGAAUUACUAUUAUUAUUUUAUCCUUAUUGAUAAGUACAUGCUAGGGUUCACUACCUAACCCUCUUUGGGCACUGUAUCCCUAUGCGAUGAAGGAACCGGUUGUACUACUUCUCUAGCUCAAGGACUUGGAUUCCGAACAUCUUUGAGUUAGACUGAAGUGGUGAGCUUCCAUACUCCAGAAGGCUCCAUUUUAUGCUAUAGAUUUCUUUUAUCUUUGUUUCUUCUUUGGUUUGGUUUUAGCUAUCAUCGAGGAAAUGUCUUAACCAGAUGUUAUUGAUUCUAGAUAGAGGCUUUAUCAGACAACUGUGGGCAUGUGCGAUGUUGAUAUAGGUGUCAGCCUUGGUAUUGGAAUUGGUAUUGAGGUUGACACCAGAUGGAUAUCUGAUUGGUUAUGGUUAUAAAAUUUAUUAAAUGUCUUUCAGUUACUGUUGCUUUAUCUUGUUAUAUGUUUGAAAGUCAUCUGACAUAGGGUAUAGAGAGGUUAUGGUUGAGCCUUGGGGCGGUCUCUGAUUUAGGACAUACUAAGAUGCCCGACACGAUUAGGCCCCGGUACGGGUUAUGUCAGAUUUGUAUCAGAGCCCUAGUUUCAUGGACAAUUGGGAGUCCAACAAAGCCGCAUCGAGUAGAGUCUCUUUUAGGGGUGUGUAGUGCACCACACUCAUAAAGGAGAGACUAUGAGGCAUUUAGGAAGUUUUCUCUUUCUUGUGUUUUAUUUUCAAGGUGUAGAGUCUAAGGUCCUAAAAUCUUUUCUAAUCCUUUUUUGUUUAUUGUUUAGAUCAUGCCUCCCCGAUAAUCUGAAGCUCACGAAAACUCCUUUGUCCUACCCGAGGGAAAUAUUGAUAGGACCCGUUCUACUUAUGGGGUCCAGUCCUGGUCUAGGGGUCUAGUUCCUAAUUAUCCUCUUAGAGUUCCACUUAUUCCUUCUAGUCCUUCUCGAGCUUCUCAAGAUGAUGCGAUGAAUGCUGAGAUUUGUCAUUCUAUCCAUAUGUUGGCACAGUUAGUAGCUUCUUAGACUGAGCGUGGUACUUCUGUUACUCAAUCUUCUGAAUCUACAAGGGUUGGCCAGUUUAUGAGGUUGAACCAUGCUAUAUUUACUAGUGUUAAGGUUGAGGAGGAUCCUCAAGAUUUUAUGGAUGAGAUGGAAAAGAUCAUCUGUGUUAUACAUGCUACCAAUGUGGAGGGCGUGGAAUUUGCUACCUAUCAACUGAAAGAUGUGGCAUACCAAUGCUAUGAGGAAUGUGAACAGACUAGGGGUGACGAUACUGAGUCAGCCCUGUGAGUUGAUUUCUCUAGUUCUUUUCUGGACCGCUUAUUUCCUCAGUAGUUGAGGGAAGCGAAAGAGUUUGUUAAUCCAAAGCAAGGUAAGAUGUCAUUCAAGUAAUCUGCCUUGAAGUUUCACCAAUUGUCUCAGUAUGCUUUGGAGUUGGUUUCUAGAAUGAGGAAGUUCACUUUCGGGUUUUCUCGGGACUUGAUUCUAGAGAGUAAGGUUGUCUUUUUUAACAAGGACAUGGAGAUUUCCAGGUUGACGGUGUACAUGCAUCAUGUGCAAGAAGAUAAGAAUUAGCACGUAGAGAUUGGGGAGUGUUGACACCUAAUUUUUGCCCUCCACGAUUAAGUUUAUGUUUGAGUUUCUUCGAUUUUAGAAUAAAAUUACAAAUUUGUUUUAUUGGAAUAAAAUAUUUUCAAAGAAUUUAUUUGAGUAAAUUUAUCAUUUUAAGUAGCAAUUAUAUAUUAUCAUAUUCAAUAAUACGAAAUUUUAUAAUUUUGUUUCAUAAAUCGUUAUUUUACAAAAUAUCGGAUUUUCACCAAGGCUUAUCUUAAAAAUAAAUUCAAAUAAUUAAAAUCUUAAUUUAAAUAUAAUUUGUUCUUAGGAUUAAUUUAUUUGGAAAAAUAUUUGUUGAAUUUUUAUUAAAUCGAGAAGCUCGGGAUUAAACAAGGUAUUAAUUCGUAUCAAAUUUUGAUUUAAUUUAGUCAAUUUAUUAAAUUUUGACUACAUUGAAAUCAAAUUGAUCGCAUUUGCAAUACAAUGGAACAAUUUAAUUUUAAUUCAAUAAAAAUAUUAAUUAAAUUUGACUAAGUUCUAAAUUUUAAUUGGGGGUUAUGUUUUAAACAACACCCAAAAUUUAAACACAUAAUCUACCGUUUCCAUAAAAAUAACCCUACCAGCCCAACAUCAGGCCAAAAUAACCUGGCCCAUACUUAUUUUUCCCUUGACCCGAUCUGAUAGAAAUAGUACCACCAAGCCCAAUGGAUCCAGCCCAACUCCAGCCGUCUAACCUGGCCCAAACCCCUUUUAGAUCCCCUUUUCGGCUUCAACGUACAAAAUAGCUUCCAAAUAAUUCAAUAAAAUUCAUCGAACAACAACCAAAAAACCUGACCAUGUUCGAUAAUCGCGAACAACAAUAACUCCAAACAACAACGAAAACCAACCCACCGACCCAUUCCACCAAAGCCUACCAAUCUCAAUUUUUGAUUCUUUCAGGUCGAUCAAGUCUGUGCUUAUCAUUCAGGAGCGCCCGGGCAUAAUACUGAAGAAUGCAUCAAUCUAAAAUACAAGAUCCAAGACUUGAUUGAUCAAAAGAUCAUCACUCUUCAGGAGCCGACACCCAUUGCCUAAUCAUAGAGGAGCUACGGUUAGCAUGAUUGAAAUAGCAGGAGAAUGGGUAUCUAGAAAGACUAUUACAAAGGUGGAUUUGAAAAAUCUAAAAAAAUAGUAGGAGUGGAGAAGAUAGAUAAAGUUGUGGAUGCCUUGAGUGUCUUGGGUAUGAAUUUGGAAGGAAUUAUUGAGCCUAUUAUGGUCCUAAAAAAAGCAUUUAAGCGUGGGAUAGGGUACCAGCCAAGAAAGGAAUAUGAGCUUGAAGAUAAGUCAAAGAUGAGUCUGUCCAAACCAUCGCCACUCCUAUACCAAUCAUUUCUUAUGCGCGAUAUGUCAAAAUAUGAUUGUAUUGGGGAUGGGAUAAGAAAUAUGUUCGAGGGAUGCAAUGAUAUACUAGAGGGUUUCCCAAAGUCUGAUGGGGUGAGGAUGGUUGUACCAGGAGAGACAUUGCAAAAUUAGACUUCCACACCUCUCAUAAUUCGUCGCCAGUCGUGGUAGAUGAAAGGAUAAUUACUAGUAGUUUUAAAAAUUGGUAAUGAUCUGGAGGAGGCCCCAUGAUCCACCCUUUUAUGUCUCAAUUUUUUUGUGUUUUACAGCUUUCAAAAAGGUAUUGGCCCGUAUUUGCGCGGGUCAUGAGCCAUAGUUUUUAUUUAUUUUCCAAAAGGACUCCCUUUAUUUAAGAAUUUAUUUUGAAAUAUGAUUAUAAUAUUAUCUUUUAUUAUCCUGUUAUCAUCUAACAUGGUUUAUUUUGGUGGCAAUAAUUUAAAAAUCUGCCAAUGUUAUUUCAUGAAAAGGGUUAGAUGAACAAAGAAAAGAGAAUGAUGAUGAAUGGAAAGAAUGUGAUGAGAAGUAGUUAGUGGAAGAUAUAGAAGAAUUUGAAAAUCAAAAGAAUCCCAAACUGGAGGAGCCCUAAUCCUACCUGAGAUGGAUGGUCUAGAGUGGACCAAACCAACUAAUUCUGAUGCAGUAAAGAGAUAUUGUGUUCGAAAGAUGUUUUAGUUUUUGUUUCCUUUGCUUGUUUGUAAUCGGCUUUAUGAUAGUAUCUAUUUUAUGAUGUGUAAUUGCCUAGAAUCCCUUUCCUUUCAUGUAUGAACUUCGUUUGACCUGAAUUCCUAAGAAAGGGAUACGUAGGCAGCCUAUGUCGACUUUAGUCAACCACUUAGGAGAACUUAUUCUUUUCUUUUAUGUACGAACCACGUUUGACCUAAAUUAUGUCAGCUUUGGUCAACCCAUUAGAUUUUUCUAUAUAUCCCUAGCGUUGUCUUGAAUGACCUGAUUCCUACUUCAACGGGAUACAUAAGUGCCCCAACAGCUCGGUCAUGUAACCCCAGAAAAUGGAAACUAGGGCCGAAUUUUGAGAAGGAAUCUUAAAAAUUCACGAGAGAAAGAUCAUUUUCCAAAAACCAAGAGAACGAAGACUAACAAAAACUUCAAAUCCUCACGAGCUGAGAUCGCCUCAAACAAAUUUAAAUAGGGGCAGAAAUUUUGAGUAGAUCCUCAAAAUUUUCACUAAUAUAUUAGAAUAUAUUUCAAAUCCCACUGCACCAGAGGUCAAAGUCAAGUUCUGGAAAUCACCAGCUGUGACAAAGUCUAGACAGACUAAAUAUCCGGCUAUGAUAGAACUUCUGAUACAGAGCCUCAAUAAUCCUGAAUCCCUAGAAAUCCUACGUCAAACAUCAAACAUAGUCAGAAUGAAGAAAAAUAUGUUCAUCAGGCUUAUACAUGACAUAACUAGCAAAGAUUUUCUAAAGCUUUUAUAGAAAUUUUUUAAACUAGUUUUUAAAAAAUUAUGGCUACUUUCAAAAACCUAUACAAAUAUUUUACUUAGUGAUUGCCUAGGAAUCUAUUGGAACGGGGAGUCAAGGUAGAAGUCCCAACAUGACGGAGUUCCCAAAAAAUGGCGGGAGCAAACCAAGGAUUGAAGAAGGUCAACACAGAGUAGUUCUACCCAAAAACUAAUCAUUUUUCUGUGGAUGAAAGGAUAAGUACACAAAAUGGGAAUCUUUUUCAAAAUAUACCCAAGCGAGUUAAGAGCCACACAGAGCAUAUAUUGCUUAAGAACGGUAUUUUUGGGUAGCCCCCAAAAAGGGUUUAAUACCCAUUUAUCGAGGACCUUUUUAAUUGUCUAUCUUAUUUCUUGAGACCAUGAAGGACUAAAUAUUUACCUUGAGCACAGGUACAUUUAAGGGAGUUAUCACAAUAAGUAUAACAAUCAAUAGUAUCACUCUUAGGAGGAAAAGCAGAAAGUCAUCCUCAAAAUUUUCCUUGGAGCGAAGCAAACGGUAUUUGAAUAAUCCCCAAACGAGGACUUUCCCCAUUUACUUGCAUCCGAUGGAUUUGCUACUUCUUCAAAAAAGAAAUAUUAAAAUGGAAUAAUUCAUUCAAAUCAGGAUGUAUUUAUCAUUAAACAAUUAUAAAUCUUGACUGUGGUCGCUAGUGAGAGCGUCAUUGCAUCUACUAACUGCCUACCUUGAUUAUAGGUACAUGUAGAUAGAAAAAUACAGAUAAUCAAACUCAGGUGAAACUUUUUUCAAAUCACCGGAAGAACCAUUUCAUAUUAUCUCAUUACGGAGAGGGCCAUUUCAGGACAUUACCAAGAGGUUCAUUUCAUAUCAUUGUCAAGAGGGCUAUUUUUUACGACUGCCAAGAGUGCUAUUUCAUAUCAUUGCCAAAAGGUCCAUUUCAUAUCAUUGCUGAGAGGGCAUUGCAUGCCACUACCGAGAUGGCUAUUUCAUAUCAUUGCUAAGAGGGCCAUUAUAUGCCAUCGCCAAGAGGACCAUUUAAUAUCUGUUGACACAUGAGAUAGCAUAUGCAGACAUCGAGGAUAUCAUCAGCAUUUAAUAUCUAUUAAAAUAUGAGGUAGCAUAUGUUGGUGUUGAGGAUAUCAUCAACAUUAUAUAUCAAUUGACACACGAGAUAGCAUACGCUGGAAUUAAGGAUAUCAUCAUCAUUUAAUAUCUAUUGACACACGAGAUAGAAUACGCUGGCAUCAGGGAUAUCAUCAUAAUUUAAUAUCUAUGACACGCGAGAUAGCAUACGCUAGCGUUGAGGAUAUCAUCAGCAUUUAAUAUUUGUUGACACACGAGAUAACAUACACUGGCAUCGAAGAUAUCAUCAGUAUUUAAUAUCUUUUGACAUACGAGAUAGCAUACGCUGUCAUCGAGGAUAUCAUCAACAAUCAAAUCUAUUGACAUGCAAGAUAGCAUAUGCUGGUAUUGAGAAUAUCAUUAAUAUUUAAUAUUUGUUGACACUCUUAAUAGCAUACGCUAGCAUCAAAGAUAUCAUCAGCAUUUAAUAUUUGUUGACACGCAAGAUAGCAUAAGCUGGCGUUGAGGAUAUCUCAUCAUUUUGUGAAUCAGCAUCUGAAUGCAUCAAGAGCACACGAUUUGAAGAAACAUCUUUAAGUCGCUAUAUAAAGACGAGUGAUAUAUGAGAUUUCCUAGAAAUUAACAAAUUGAGGGUCAUUUGGGAGUCAUAUUAUUUCAAAUAGGAUAGCUUGCAAGAUUACCUAUGAGUUGAUAGCCUAUAGGUCAUUCAUAAUUCACAACGACACCCUAAUCGGAUAGUGUGCAAGGUUACCCAAAAAUUGGUAGUCCAAAGGUUAUCCAUAAGUCACAAGUAAAUCCUUACUAGAGAAUAUGCGAGAAUAUCAAAUUGAUAAGUCCAAAGGUUCUCUAUAAGCCGCGUCAUAUCCAAAAUUGAUUAUGUGCAGGAUUACCCAAAGACUAGCAAUUUGAGACAUAUCUGUAAGUCAUAUUAUAUUCAAGGUCGAAUGAUGUGCAGGAAUAUCUGAGAGAUAGAGAUUGGAGGGAUAUCUGUAAGUCAUCUCUUAUCCAAGGUCGGAUAAUAUAGAGGAUCACCUAAAAGCUAGCAAUUCAAAGGAUAUUUGUAAGUCGCCGCAUAUCCAAUAUCAAAUAAUGCGCGAGAUUAUCCAAAGAUUGACAAUUUAAGGAAAAUCUACAAGUCGUAUCGAUAAAAAGAUUCUUAAGACUUAUUCGAUGUCAUAUGCAAAUAAUCAUUGACAAUAACCAGAGAGGUUAUCAUUUCACAAACAUUAUAGGCGACAAAAUGGGUUGUCGCAUCAGCAUAAAAUUACACGAUUACAGAGACCAUUUUACAUAAAGUAUCAUUGAUGUUUAAAAAGGUCACCCCACUUUGAAGACAUAUUCUACUGACAAAUCAGAUAAUUAUACAGUAAUUAAGAGGUUUGUUGUGUUCGUUGUUGCAAGUUAUUGCCUUCCAAACAGGUACAUAAAAGGAUGACUUUGCCUUUUGGGGGAAAACUCACGUGGAGACACGGUAAAGACUAUAUACCUCUUUCGUGAAUUAUGUUUAGCACUAAUAUUUUUUGUUCAAAACAUUGUGGAGAGCAUCUAAGAGGAUGAAAAUAUCAAAUCAAAACCAUAGGUGCGGACGACUCCAAAAAGAACGUCAUACAACGUGGAACAUAUUCUUAGCAGUAAAAUGGGACAUAGUCUAGAGAGGGACGUCAAACUCUUUGGAUACGAGCUAAAGAAUGAUCGCCAACACCAUCCAACCACACCCCUAUUAGAAGGCAUGUGGGUAUUUUGAGAUAUUCUGGUUUCAGCUUCACUAUCGGGAUAUUCUUAAAUUCAUAUCGAGGGUAAACAUCUCUUUCUUCAAAUUUGAGUGAUAGGGAAGCUAGAGUUUCAAAAAUUAUGUCAAGGUAAGUUCUUGACUAUAGAUGUGAAGGAUCCCAUAUUCAUGGUUAAGAGGUUGCAAGCCUAUUUUCUGUAACUCGAUCAACUUGUCAAUCAUCCUAAGCCAAAGAUCGUCUGAAAUAAAAGACUGUCUUUUGCACCGAUUGAGUCGAACUAUAAGUAGUCUGAUUCCCUAAGUCUCGAGAAUAAAUAGGCUGGGAUCUAUUUUAAGAACUUGACUGCAUUCCAACCUCCUUCCAAAUCCCUUUAUUCUCUAGCUUUUCAGUUUCAUCAAAAACUCCAAAAUCAAGAUAACUUGUAAACUUUUUGAAAAUAGUUCUUUAAAUCAAGCUUUAUGAACUACAAGUGACCUGAAUUAUCAUAUAACCUGAGAUAUGUAGGAAAUCUUAUACCGAGGUCCGACCAUAAAUCUAUGAAACUCGUGCAAAAACCAACCUCCAUUAGAAAUGAAUUCAUGGUAGGACAAAAAUUAGGAAAGUCAAACUCCCUUUAACCAGGAUUACUUCCAUCCACCCUACCCAAAGGGAGGGGGCAGUUGUUGACACCUAAUUUUUGCCCUCCACAACUAAGUUUAUGUUUGAGUUUCUUUGAUUUCUGAAAAAAAUUAUAAUAUUUAUUUUAUCUGAAUAAAAGCUUUUCAAAGUAUUUAUUUGGGUAUACUUUUUAUUUUAUGUAGCAAUUAUAUAUUAUCGUAUUCAAUUAUAUGAAAAUUUUAUAAUUUUGUUACUUAAAUCGUUAUUUUACAAAAUAUCAAAUUUUAACCAAGGCUUAUCUUGAAAAUAAAUUCAAAUGAUUAAAAUCUUGAUUUAAAUGUAAUUUGUGCUUAGGAAUAAUUUAUUUGCAAAAAUUUGUUGAAUUUUUAUUAAAUCGAGAAACUCAGGAUUAAACAAGCUAUUAAUUCAUAUCGAAUUACAAUUUAAUUUAGUCAAUUUAUUAAAUUUUGACCACAAUUGAAAUCAAAUUGGUCACAUUUUCAAUACAAUGAACCAAUUUAAUUUUAAUGCAAUCAACUAUUAAUUAAAUUUGACUAAGUUCUCAAUUUUAAUUGGAGGUUAUGUUUUAAAUAACCCCUAAAAUUUAAACACAUAAUCUACCCUUUCCAUAAAAAUAACCCUACCAUCCCAACAUCAGGCCAAAAUAACCUAGCCCACACUCUUUUUUCCCCUGACCCGAUCCAAUAGCAACACUACCACCAAGCCCAACGGAUCCAGCCCAACACCAGUCGUCUGACCCAGCCCAAACCCCUUUUAGAUCCCUUUUUAUAUUUCGACUUCUUCUUCUUCAACAACAGCAAAAACCGAGUGUGUUCUAUAAUUACAAAAAAUAAUAACUCCAAACCACAGCAAAAACUGACCAUCAACCCAUCAACAACUUCGUCAAAACCUAAGACUCCGAUCUAACCCUUCUCACAAGCGUCUCACACGCUGGUGUGAUGAGGAGGGUUCAGAAAUAUUUUAGAAUAUACCUAGGUGUCCCUCCAAUGAUUUGAUUGUGUGAAUUUUGGAUGAAGUAGUAUGAAUUCAUACACAUUUGGGAAAAUACUCUUGGUUUUGGGAGAUUAUUCUUUUUCCCCAAUCUCCAUUGGCCAACCCAUUUGGAAUUUUCUCAAGAACAAUCCAAAUUUGUACAAGUUGUUGUUUGGAAACCCCAACUUGAAUUCAAUUUUUUUUCCUACUGAAAAUCCCAAAACGCCCCCCAAUUUCUCUUAAUCCCACAUCAGUAGAGCUUAAGAGGGACCCUAAUUUGUUAUCUAUAAAAAAAUCUUACUGUUUAGCCAAGAAGGGGUCCGGAAAAUUUUUGAAAAGCUAGAAGAGAAAAAAAAUUGACUCGGAGAGGACAAGAAAUUUCUUUAGCGGAGCUAUUAGAAAAAGAGAAAGAAAAUUGGUUUUCAAGAGGACAAGUGAAUUUUUCUUUGGUAAUUUUUAUUUUGAGAAAAUCAGUCCAUGAGUCAAAAUCUUACGAUGACAACAAUGAUUUUUGAUGGUGGUCAAGAUCCCGACAUCAGUUUGUAACCCCGUUUUGCUAUUCCGAAAAAGGUAAACAGCUUUUUCUAUUUUUAUUUUUGUUAUCAUUUUGUUUUCUCUCUCUUUCAUAUCCUUAUGGUGUAGUUAUAAUGUUGCUUGUCUGCUGGGAGUAGCUGUAGAGGCCUCGUCAACUGUAGGAUUUAUUUGAGCAUGUUGUUGUAAGAUUGCUUAGGAUAAAUUCACUACUCUGUGUUAAUGAUGUUACUUGGUUGUGUAUGCUUAAUAAUGGAUGGGUUUAUCAUUUAAUGAUUAUUAAUGUUGAUUAGUCGUAAUGUUACAUUAUGAAUUAGCAUAUAUGAAGCUUGUCAAGACUCUACCCCUUCUUGUUUAGUUCAUUAUUGAGAUUCGAUGAUUUUUGUGGUGAAAAUUUAGCUUAUAGUUUUGUUUGAUAAGUAUCAAAAAAGAGUUUCUUCAAUUAUUAUUCAUUAUUUUGACAUCGAGUUCGUCUAAAUCUCAUAAUCUAGGUGUAGAUCGGCUUGUAAAACCACUGUACUGUUGAAAUUUUAUCAAUUCUUAUGUUAUGUUUACACUUGAAUAUUUUGGUCUGACUUGCCAUAUCUUUAGCUGAUUGUCUCAUUUUAGUCCUUAUACAUCGAUUUAGUAUGGUGUUUCCUUGGUUGUGAUUGGUUGUCUACGUUUUAAUCUUAUUUAUUUUAGUCAGUAGUAGAACUUUAAUCGAUUGUAUUCACCCAAUACGGGUUGACCCUGAUUUUCUUGACCUUUAAAGUUACUAAAAAUAGUAGACAUGGGUUCGUAGUAAAGUCGACAAUCUUAUGAAACCUCAAUGAUCUUUCCUUUGACCUUUGAAAGUUCAUUUCAAGUUGGUCAAAGAGAAGGUGAGGAGGAGCUUAUAGUAUAUUCCAUCUUGGGGUGGUGAAGCCUAAAUAUCAUUUCUUGUGAAUCCGUGUGCAUACUUACAACUUUUUUAUGCUCAUGUUAGUCUUGGAAACUUGCGUCAUUUGAUAAUUAGUUAUAAGCCGAUUCUGGUCAUCGAACAUGGACAAACUUAUGGUCUUUGAACAUGUGGUUUACCAAAGGGCUAUCUAUGUCAUAUUUUCUCUCUCGUAGAAAUCAAGACUAAGAACGAGACUCGCCCUUAGCAUGGCCUGUUCUCGUUUCCUGAAGGUCUUCUCGCCUAUAACUUUAUUAGACUAUCAAUAAAGAUAAGGCCUUUACUAUUUAAAAACACUUUUAUUAUAUUUCGUGUUGUGGAUAAAUAAGGGGUCCAUUUGGAAGGUUAAUUUUCUGUUUAGAUAAAAUGUGAGGUUAUUGAAGUGUUGGAUAUUUACCCUCCUUUGUUUGAGCCUUGUUCUACGAACUUCUUUUCAUUGGCUAGUCGAUUAUAUUCAGAAAUUGUAUUUAUUCCUUUUUGUUCUAUGUGACAUCAAGCCUAAUUCACUGUUGUAUUCAUAUACUGGAAGUUUAGAUAUUUACACCUGUGGUUUCCAUGUAUGUUACAUAAUGUGAAGUUACCUUUGUUAAACUAACUUU